rnacentral:snRNA from 1 species
GGAAGUGAGGGCAAUCUGGCUGCUACUGCUGUCACCCCAUUGAUCUCCAGGGUUGAGUUGGCUGAUCUGGCUGGCUAGGCAGGUGUCCCUUUCCUCCCUCACUGCUCCAUGUGUGUCCCUCCUGAAGCUGCAUGCUUAGUCAAACAGGGGGACCUUCUCCAAAUGGAGGAGGAGUGGUCCUCAGCCCUGGAGUAGCUGUGCUUUCCUGCUAGAACCCCCAAACAUGCUCUCAAGGUUCAUUUGUAGGAUCAUGGGGUAGUCAAGCUUCCAAGACUCCAGCCACAUCCAGAUGAGGCGCUGCAUGGGGCAGUCUGCCUUUCU